rnacentral:rRNA from 1 species
CGCGUAGGCGGUCAUGUAUGUCAGGUGUGAAAUCCCUAGGCUUAACUUAGGAAUUGCGCUUGAAACUGCAUGGCUAGAGGCUGGGAGAGGAAAGUGGAAUUCCUGGUGUAGCGGUGAAAUGCGUAGAUAUCAGGAGGAACACCGGUGGCGAAAGCGGCUUUCUGGACCAGUUCUGACGCUGAGGCGCGAAAGCGUGGGGAGCAAACG